rnacentral:lncRNA from 10 species
UCUUCCUACUCCAGUAAGGUUGCUCAUGUUUGUGAUGCAGGUUACGUCGCUGGAUUUGUAGACUUGGAGGUGAGCAACAGACCAGACCUCUAUGAUGUGUUUGUGAAUCUGGCAGAGAGUGAGAUUACCAUUGCUCCCCUUGCAAAAGAGGCCAUGGCAAUGGGCAAACUGCACAAAGAAAUGGGUCAGCUAAUUGUUCAGUCUGCAGAAGAUCCAGAGAAAUCAGAGAGCCACGUUAUACAGGUAACUCCCUCACCUUCUGACUUACUGAAAGUCCUGACCCGGUGUCGCUGGGUGGUGUGCGGCAGAGCUGUGCACAUAAGCAGAGUGGGGGGCUGUGGUAGAGGCCAGCGGGCAGGUGCUUAGAGAGGGUUUACAGACGGCCACAGUGAUGAUGGACAAGCAGGUGCAGGCUGGCCUGAUCUAGUUAGUUACUGGGCUCGAGGGCAGGUAUACACAGGGGCUGGUGCUGACACCGACCGCUGGCAAUGAGAAAUGUAACUACCAAGUGGUCUGGAAGGCUUUUCUGGGCCAGCCAGUGCAUUCUUUCUUCCUAGGAGAAUUUCCCUGGAGGAACAAAUUAUAAAGGGGAGGUUGUUGCUGAGCAUGGGGAACUAGAUUGUCAAAAUUUUGCUUUGCUUGUCUCCAGGACAACAGAAAUCAUGCAGUCAGACUCCUGUCCCACUUAGUGACUGUUGCCACAUGCCGCAGAGCCAGCUCCUUGCUGGUGUCUACCUGGCAUGCUGACCAGCGUCCAUGUGGCCCAGUGGGCACCUGCUCUGCCCUUGCCAAACUGGGAUGGCAAAUGGGUUUUAUUUCUUGUGCUUUCCACGUGGUGGCCUGCAGCCCGCCCAGCUCCUUGCAUUUGGCCUGUUCCCAGCUCCUUGCUCCUCUCCUGAAGGAUACACUUCCAGCGUUGCCUUAUCUAGAUGCCUGACUCAUAACCUGGGGCUGGAGGGCCCAGAAGGACUGUCUCCCAUCUGCACCUGUCCUACCUGGGGGUACGGGGGCACCUCUGAUAUGCAGGCUUUACUCAUUCGGCCCAACCUGAUGCCUUCUUCAUUUAUCCAUUCAUUUACUCAGUGUUUCUUGAGCUCUGUUUGUUAGGCAUUGCACUGGCAGUGGGGAUGCAGUGGUGAGCAAAUCCCUGCCCUCAUGGAGUCUGUAAUUUAGUGGAGUAGAUGCACAGAAAAUAAUAAAUGACAAGAUAAUUACAGCCCAUGUUAGGUGCUGUGACAGAAGGGGUUGAGGUGGAGAAUAUUGGGGGAUGGGUAGGCCAGAUCUCUAAGGAGGUGACAUGUCAGCGGAAAGAUGAGAGGGGCCAUUUCUCUGCAGUGCUGGUGGCCUGGCCAGCUGUGAGCAGGAAGAGUGGGCUGAUCUUGCCCUGAGGACCUGAACACUGGAGACUCUGGGGCCGCUUCUUUCCUACCAUGGGAAUCCUCACUGCCCACCUACCCCCAACAUUAGAGUAAAGACAUAUUCUUACAAUAUCAGCAACAUAUGUGAAUCUGAGUUUUGCAUUACUGUGUUGUUCACAGACUAAAAGUGCUACCUAGAUGACUUAGUAUGACGUAUGAGACCUUGGGGAGGGCAAGUGAAAGUGCUGGGAAUGCUGUAAGGGUUCAAAAAUACAUGAAUGAAUUAAUGAUGUCAGCAAACAAGGAAGAAGACGUGACUUUUUUUUCCCUUUUUUGAGUUUCACUGUCGCCCAGGGUGGAGUGCAGUGGUGCAAUCUUGGCUCACUGCAACCUCCACCACGUGGGUUCAAGCGAUUCUCCUGCCUCAGCCUCCCGAGUAGCUGGGACCAUAGGCAUGCACCACCAUGCCUGGCUAAUUUUUUUGUAUUUUUAGUAGAGGCAGGGUUUCACCAUGUUGGUCAGGCUGGUCUUGAACUUCUGACCUCAAAUGAUCCACCUGCCUCGGCCUCCCAAAGUGCUGAGAUUACAGGCGUGAGCCACCAUGCCUGGCCAGAAGACAUGAUUUUAAUGAGUGCUUUAGUGAGUCCUCAGCCACCCAAAAGGAAUAAAGCCUGCGUGGCAGGUGCCGGGUUACUUAUCCCAGGCAGAAGAGGACUUUUGGGAAGAGAUUCCUUCAAAAAAACAAUAGCAGCAUUUCUCAAAAAGUUAAACAUCAAGUUACCAUAUGAUUUAGCAAUGCUGUUUCUGGGUAUAUACCCAAAAUAAUUGAAAGCAGGGACUCGGCCAGGCCCGGUGGCUCAUGCAUGUAAUCCCAGCACUUUGGGAGGCCGAGGCGGGCGGAUCACCUGAGGUCAGGAGUUCAAGACCAGCCUGGCCAACAUGGUGAAACCCAUCUCUACUAAAAAUACAAAAAUUAGCCGGGUGUGGUGGUGGGCGCCUGUUAAUCCCAGCGACUUGGGAAGCCGAGGCAGGAGAAUCGCUUCAACCCGGGAGGCGGGGGUUGCAGCGAGCCGAGAUUGUGCCAUUGCACUCCAGCCUGGGCAACAAGAGCAAAACUGUCUCAAAAAAAAAAAAAAAAA